rnacentral:rRNA from 1 species
GAUGAACGCUAGCGGCAGGCUUAACACAUGCAAGUCGAGGGGUAACAGAGAGUGCUUGCACUCUGCUGACGACCGGCGCACGGGUGAGUAACGCGUAUGCAACCUACCUUUUACAGGGGAAUAGCCCAGAGAAAUUUGGAUUAAUACCCCAUAUUAUCUUUUUUUCGCAUGAAUUAAGGAUGAAAGUUUCGACGGUAAAAGAUGGGCAUGCGUCCUAUUAGUUUGUUGGUAAGGUAACGGCUUACCAAGACUUCGAUAGGUAGGGGCCCUGAGAGGGGGACCCCCCACACUGGUACUGAGACACGGACCAGACUCCUACGGGAGGCAGCAGUGAGGAAUAUUGGACAAUGGACGAAACUCUGAUCCAGCCAUGCCGCGUGCAGGAUGAAUGCCCUAUGGGUUGUAAACUGCUUUUAUAUAGGAAGAAAACCCUCCACGUGUGGAGGCUUGACGGUACUAUAAGAAUAAGGAUCGGCUAACUCCGUGCCAGCCGCCGCCGUAAGAC